GAUGUUCAAUGGAUUGAUGUACAGAUUGAUGUAAUAGUCGAAGAACUUUAUAUUUUAUACUAGUACUGCCUAGUACGAGUCAAGUUUCGUACAAUGAAGAUUCUUGUUCCUUUUUCUUCUUUGAGGAAUUCCUGGGAUGUCAUUCUGUAACUAUUUUACACGCUUUUUACACGACAAUCGAUGUUAUUGCGCAGCUUUUUCACCAUAUAAAAUGCGCAUAAAACAGUUAUAGAAUAUAUAGGCAUAGACCCUGUGGAAGAUUGGCAAAUAUAGAAGAAGUACAAUGAAAAUAAAGAGAUGAAAGCACAGUUGGAAGCGAAACGAACGGAACUCGCGAGUGAAAAGGAAGCAAUUAGCAGAUAUAAAAUCAUUAAAAAUUUGUUAACUCAUAAAGUCAGUGUCAGCUCAAAAAAAACUGGAUAGAGAAAAACUCGGAAUGAUCGAGAAGCUAGUUUUGUUCGCAUAAUUAAGAACAUUCAUGUGGAAAUAGAAGAUUCACGUGUGAUAUGGGAGACCACUUUCAUCCAUUUUCUUUUGGCUUUAUCCUAAAUACCUUUGUAAUACAAUUCGAGAGUUGUAUUCCUGGGAGACCACUGACAAUUUGAAGGACAUGUAUGCCACUCUACAAAUCUUCAAAGUAUGCAAUCUGAUGGAUCUAAAUGUAUUGACUACCUAUUUUAAUACAAACAUGGAGCAGUACAGCAAGAGCAAUAUACCAAUCUCUUUUAUAGUAGCAUUACAAUCAUCAAUUACCUGGUUAGGCCCAAUCAAUGUCAAGUCCUCAGACUUAAUCCCCUGAAUCUGAUGGCAAUUACAUCAUCUCGAAGAUAACUUACACUUAUCAAUCUGGCAAGAUUCUACUGUAAUAGUUUAUAAAAAUAGAUAUAACUGCAUCUAGAUAUGCAAAAACUAUGGAUUGGCUUAACGAAGCAUCAGUAUCAGAUCUUAAUUGGGAGAGGACUUGGAUCAGGCAUUGAAAACUGCACCAUAUCAAAAAUACCAAUUUGAUAUAAUAUCGCGGGUAUUUCGGUAUUG